rnacentral:rRNA from 1 species
GUAGACCCGAAACCAGGUGAUCUACCCUUGGUCAGGUUGAAGUUCAGGUAACACUGAAUGGAGGACCGAACCGACUUACGUUGAAAAGUGAGCGGAUGAACUGAGGGUAGCGGAGAAAUUCCAAUCGAACCUGGAGAUAGCUGGUUCUCUCCGAAAUAGCUUUAGGGCUAGCCUCAAGUGAUGAUUAUUGGAGGUAGAGCACUGUUUGGACGAGGGGCCCCUCUCGGGUUACCGAAUUCAGACAAACUCCGAAUGCCAAUUAAUUUAACUUGGGAGUCAGAACAUGGGUGAUAAGGUCCGUGUUCGAAAGGGAAACAGCCCAGACCACCAGCUAAGGUCCCAAAAUAUAUGUUAAGUGGAAAAGGAUGUGGCGUUGCCCAGACAACUAGGAUGUUGGCUUAGAAGCAGCCAUCAUUUAAAGAGUGCGUAAUAGCUCACUAGUCGAGUGACACUGCGCCGAAAAUGUACCGGGGCUAAACAUAUUACCGAAGCUGUGGAUUG